UGCCAGUGUAGACGCUCUCUUGUGCAAAUAUUUUAACGCAAGAACUCUUGCGUUAAAGAGUAUUUGCACAAGAUCAUGCCAAUGUAGAUGUAGCCUUAGAGUAGAAAGGGUUUGAUUUUCUGCUCUGUUCACCAGAACAUUUUUAUGUGUCUGCUGAAUUUCCUAUUUUGCUCUAGUCCACUGCUCCCUAUUUAUUUCAAGAUCUAGUUUAAAAAAAUCUUCCCUUAUGUUUAUGGUUAAAAUAAUCUAACAAACUGUUCCUGCCUUUCUCAAACCUGGGCUACAUUCAAAAAUUAGAUGAACCUGGUUACAUUGCUCAGGCUGUAAAAAAAAAAAAAAAAAAAAAAAUCUUGUGCCCUGUGUGCUGUAGUUAGGUUGACCUAACUCCUGAUGUAGACUGGGAUAUAUCAGUACCAUAUAGUACCACAUGGAGCUUACCUGUCUUCUUCCUUAUCUCUUCAUUUUUAGUGCUGGCUUCCUCUCUGUCUUUUUGAAAGUCUCAUCACUAUACACAUGAGCCACUUUUUUGCAGCUGCCAUAAUCUGGAACAGGGAGUCUUCUUUGCCUGUUGGCUAAUCUUCAGGUAGAGUCUGACGCUGCUCCCAAUGAAGUCAAUGGCAAAAUUCUUACUGACUUCAGUGGAGCCGAAUCAGCCAGGAGUUUGCGCUGGCACUCCACAACUUCCCCACCCCUUGUGAGGUUGGCGCGCCAGUGUUGGCAUCCCUCUGAGGGGGCGAGCUCCAAGCCUCCCUGCCAGAUCAGCCUCAUGAGGAAUAAGCAGAGCCAGAAGCGGCUCCAUGUACUGCUGCUCCCUCUGCCCCAGCUGGGGAAACUGCAGCGUGUUGUCGCACUGCCUGGAGGCUUUCCUGCAGCUCUCAUUGGCUGGAGUCCUUCCUGGGACACGAUGCCUGAGCGGUGUGAGGUGCGAAAGCAAGUGUAAAGUGUCGAAUUUAAGCAUGAAUGACAGUUCAGAGGAUUCUCUUUCAAGUGUAGUCUUAAAAGGCCUUUGAAGCAAGAUGCAGGUCAUUUGCAAACCAGGCCAAGAAGUGAGGAUGUGGCUGCAGAAAAAUAAGGAUGCCUCAGCAUUUGUUUAUGUGUCUAGAAUAUUUUAUUAUAUACUGCAAAAAUCAAUAAACACAAAUGUGUCAAGAGUUUUUGUCAUUACCAAUGUCUAAUUUUAUAGCCUAUCCUUUAUAGGCAGUCCCCGAGUUACGCGGAUCCGACUUAUGUCGGAUCCGCAGAUACGAACGGGGAUUUUCUUGCCCCGGAGGACUGGAGUGGCGGGACACCUGGU